AGAGUUUGAUCAUGGCUCAGAUUGAACGCUGGCGGCAGGCCUAACACAUGCAAGUCGAACGGUAGCACAGAGGAGCUUGCUCCUUGGGUGACGAGUGGCGGACGGGUGAGUAAUGUCUGGGGAUCUGCCCGAUGGAGGGGGAUAACUACUGGAAACGGUAGCUAAUACCGCAUAACGUCGCAAGACCAAAGUGGGGGACCUUCGGGCCUCACACCAUCGGAUGAACCCAGAUGGGAUUAGCUAGUAGGUGGGGUAACGGCUCACCUAGGCGACGAUCCCUAGCUGGUCUGAGAGGAUGACCAGCCACACUGGAACUGAGACACGGUCCAGACUCCUACGGGAGGCAGCAGUGGGGAAUAUUGCACAAUGGGCGCAAGCCUGAUGCAGCCAUGCCGCGUGUAUGAAGAAGGCCUUCGGGUUGUAAAGUACUUUCAGCGGGGAGGAAGGGAUGAUGUUUAAUACGCAUCGUCAUUGACGUUACCCGCAGAAGAAGCACCGGCUAACUCCGUGCCAGCAGCCGCGGUAAUACGGAGGGUGCAAGCGUUAAUCGGAAUUACUGGGCGUAAAGCGCACGCAGGCGGUCUGUCAAGUCGGAUGUGAAAUCCCCGGGCUUAACCUGGGAACUGCAUUCGAAACUGGCAGGCUAGAGUCUUGUAGAGGGGGGUAGAAUUCCAGGUGUAGCGGUGAAAUGCGUAGAGAUCUGGAGGAAUACCGGUGGCGAAGGCGGCCCCCUGGACAAAGACUGACGCUCAGGUGCGAAAGCGUGGGGAGCAAACAGGAUUAGAUACCCUGGUAGUCCACGCUGUAAACGAUGUCGACUUGGAGGUUGUGCCCUUGAGGCGUGGCUUCCGGAGCUAACGCGUUAAGUCGACCGCCUGGGGAGUACGGCCGCAAGGUUAAAACUCAAAUGAAUUGACGGGGGCCCGCACAAGCGGUGGAGCAUGUGGUUUAAUUCGAUGCAACGCGAAGAACCUUACCUGGCCUUGACAUCCACGGAAUUUGGCAGAGAUGCCUUAGUGCCUUCGGGAACCGUGAGACAGGUGCUGCAUGGCUGUCGUCAGCUCGUGUUGUGAAAUGUUGGGUUAAGUCCCGCAACGAGCGCAACCCUUAUCCUUUGUUGCCAGCGAUUCGGUCGGGAACUCAAAGGAGACUGCCGGUGAUAAACCGGAGGAAGGUGGGGAUGACGUCAAGUCAUCAUGGCCCUUACGGCCAGGGCUACACACGUGCUACAAUGGCGCAUACAAAGAGAAGCGACCUCGCGAGAGCAAGCGGACCUCAUAAAGUGCGUCGUAGUCCGGAUUGGAGUCUGCAACUCGACUCCAUGAAGUCGGAAUCGCUAGUAAUCGUAGAUCAGAAUGCUACGGUGAAUACGUUCCCGGGCCUUGUACACACCGCCCGUCACACCAUGGGAGUGGGUUGCAAAAGAAGUAGGUAGCUUAACCUUCGGGAGGGCGCUUACCACUUUGUGAUUCAUGACUGGGGUGAAGUCGUAACAAGGUAACCGUAGGGGAACCUGCGGUUG
rnacentral:rRNA from 1 species